CCUACGGGUGGCUGCAGUCGAGGAUCUUCGGCAAUGGGCGCAAGCCUGACCGAGCGACGCCGCGUGAGCGAUGAAGGCCAUUAGGUUGUAAAGCUCUGUCGAGGGGGAACAAGCCGCAAGGUUGAGUGAUCCCUGGAGGAAGCACGGGCUAAGUUCGUGCCAGCAGCCGCGGUAAGACGAACCGUGCGAACGUUGUUCGGAAUCAUUGGGCUUAAAGGGCGCGUAGGCGGGUUGACAAGUCCGGGGUGAAAGCCUCCAGCUCAACUGGAGAAGAGCCCCGGAUACUGUCAGUCUGGAGAGGGAUAGGGGCACAUGGAACUUCCGGUGGAGCGGUGAAAUGCGUAGAGAUCGGAAGGAACGCCGGUGGCGAAAGCGAUGUGCUGGAUCUUUUCUGACGCUGAGGCGCGAAAGCUAGGGGAGCAAACGGGAUUAGAUACCCUUGUAGUC
rnacentral:rRNA from 1 species